rnacentral:rRNA from 1 species
GAGUUUGAUCAUGGCUCAGGACGAACGCUGGCGGCGUGCCUAAUACAUGCAAGUCGAGCGCGGGAAGCGAGCAGAAGCCCUUCGGGGUGGACGCUCGUGGAACGAGCGGCGGACGGGUGAGUAACACGUGGGCAACCUACCUGUGAGACGGGGAUAACUCCGGGAAACCGGGGCUAAUACCGGAUAACGCAUCGAACCGCAUGGUUCGAUGAUCAAAGAUGGCUUCUAGCUAUCACUCACAGAUGGGCCCGCGGCGCAUUAGUUAGUUGGUGAGGUAACGGCUCACCAAGGCGACGAUGCGUAGCCGACCUGAGAGGGUGAUCGGCCACACUGGGACUGAGACACGGCCCAGACUCCUACGGGAGGCAGCAGUAGGGAAUCAUCCGCAAUGGACGCAAGUCUGACGGUGCAACGCCGCGUGAGCGAUGAAGGUCUUCGGAUCGUAAAGCUCUGUUGUGAGGGAAGAACAAGUGCCGUUCGAAUAGGGCGGCACCUUGACGGUACCUCACCAGAAAGCCCCGGCUAACUACGUGCCAGCAGCCGCGGUCA